rnacentral:rRNA from 1 species
UGGGGAAUUUUGCACACUGGGCGCAAGCCUGAUGCAGCGACUCCGCGUGAGGGAUGAAGGCCUUCGGGUUGUAAACCUUUUUCGCUCAUGGUCAAGCCGCAGCUUUGGGUUGUGGUGAGGGUAGUGGGUAAAGAAGCGCCGGCUAACUACGUGCCAGCAGCCGCGGUUAUACGUAGGGCGCGAGCGUUGUCCGGAAUUAUUUGGCGUAAAGGGCUUGUAGGCGGUUGGCCGCGUCUGCCGUGGAAUCCUCUGGCUUAACUGGGGGCGUGCGGUGGGUACGGGUUGACUUGAGUGCGGUAGGGGAGACUGGAAUUCCUGGUGUAGCGGUGGAAUGCGCAGAUAUCAGGAGGAACACCGGUGGCUAAGGCGGGUCUCUGGGCCGUUACUGACGCUGAGGAGCGAAAGCGUGGGGAGCGAACAGG